rnacentral:rRNA from 1 species
GAUGAACGCUGGCGGCGUGCCUAAUACAUGCAAGUCGAACGCUGAAGCACUCUGCUUGCAGAGUGUGGAUGAGUGGCGAACGGGUGAGUAACACGUGGGGAACCUGCCCAUAAGAGGGGGAUAACAUCCGGAAACGGGUGCCAAUACCGCAUAGGUGAUCAUAGCGCAUGCUUAGAUCAUUAAAGAUGGCUUCGGCUAUCGCUUAUGGAUGGCCCCGCGGCGUAUUAGCUAGUUGGUGAGGUAAUGGCUCACCAAGGCUGUGAUACGUAGCCGACCUGAGAGGGUGAUCGGCCACACUGGAACUGAGACACGGUCCAGACUCCUACGGGAGGCAGCAGUAGGGAAUCUUCCACAAUGGGCGAAAGCCUGAUGGAGCAAUACCGCGUGAGUGAAGAAGGUCUUCGGAUCGUAGAGCUCUGUUGUUAGAGAAGAACAAGAGGUGUAGUAACUGGCACCUCCUUGACGGUAUCUAACCAGAAAGUCACGGCUAACUACGUG